GCAAACUUGGUCAUUUAGAGGAAGUAAAAGUCGUAACAAGGUUUCCGUAGGUGAACCUGCGGAAGGAUCAUUACCGAGUGCGGGUUGCCCCUGGGCACCCAACCUCCCACCCGUGACUACCUAACCCUGUUGCUUCGGCGGGGCGCCUCCCCCGGGGGGCCGCCGCCGGGGACCACUGAACUACUUGUCUUAACCAUGAUGCAGUCUGAGCGUGAAACACAAAUCAGUCAAAACUUUCAACAAUGGAUCUCUUGGUUCCGGCAUCGAUGAAGAACGCAGC
rnacentral:misc_RNA from 1 species